rnacentral:rRNA from 1 species
UACGUAGGGAGCAAGCGUUGUCCGGAUUCACUGGGUGUAAAGGGUGCGUAGGCGGGAAGGUAAGUCCGCGGUGAAAUCUCACAGCUCAACUGUGAAACUGCCGUUGAUACUGCUUUUCUUGAGUUCGGGAGAGGUUGAUGGAAUUCCAGGUGUAGCGGUGAAAUGCGUAGAUAUCUGGAAGAACACCAGUGGCGAAGGCGGUCAACUGGCCCGUAACUGACGCUGAGGCACGAAAGCGUGGGUAGCGAACAGG